CGUAAAGAAGACCCUUAUCCCAAAGAAGGAGGAAACCAUCUCCCCUGGGGUGUUGUCCGAUCCCCUUUCUGGAGCAGUACCGCAGGCAUUUCUUGUUCUGGCCCAGAACAGAAACAGGUCCCAUGUGACCUGAGUGACUUGUUGGAUCUAUGCAAAGGAUCAUGCCCUGAGAAGGCAAUCAUCCAGCCCGGCACGUGUAUCCCCAGGGACCAAAAAGUUGCUUGAGAAUCCUUCAGCGUGUGAAGAGAUGAACCUGUCUUCUUGGCAAACAACGUUGUUACUUCAAAGGGGAGGUCCUCCACUGUUUAGAUCUCCUUAGGGAAGCCGGACGAAUAGAGCUAAGAGGCACUCCUCAAUAACCACAGCCAUGGAGAUUGAGCAUACUGCCAAGACUGCCACAUCCAGUGUGCACUGCAGAGACGUUUUCGCCACCAGCUGGCCUUCGUUGAUAAU